UAUGUGAUCGUCUCUCGCAUAUCAAUAAGCGGAGGAAAAGAAACUAACAAGGAUUCCCCUAGUAACGGCGAGUGAAGCGGGAAGAGCUCAAAUUUGAAAUCUUAAAGGGUCUCCCUUUACGAAUUGUAGUUUAAAGAAGUGUUUUCUGUUGAGGUUUUGGUAAAAGUUCUUUGGAAUAGGACAUCAUAGAGGGUGAGAAUCCCGUAUUUGACCUUUACUUUCAACUUUGUGAUACACUUUCAAAGAGUCGGAUUGUUUGGGAAUGCAGUCCAAAAUGGGUGGUAAAUUUCAUCUAAAGCUAAAUAUUGGCGAGAGACCGAUAGCGAACAAGUACCGUGAGGGAAAGAUGAAAAGAACUUUGAAAAGAGAGUUAAACAGUACGUGAAAUUGUCAAAAGGGAAGCGUUUGACACCAGUGUUGUUUUUCUGAAAAUCAAUUAAAGAACUGUUUAUGCUAAGUUGUUUAGACUUUAUCAGCUAACUGUUUAGUUUUGAGCUUUUCUUUAAUGCACUUUUCAGUUAACAAGUCAACAUCAAUUUCUUUUGCUGUAAAAAAGCUUGAGGAAGGUGGCUUGAGAUUCGUCUUAAGUGUUUAUAGCCUCUUGCCUAUGCAGUCGGAGAGAUUGAGGUCUGCAGCGUAGAUCCUUCGGGGCUAAAUGCAUUUGUGCUAAGUUAUAGCAUUUUAUAGACAACUUGUUGACUAUGAUUUGUCUUGUAGCUUACUCGCUUAUGUUAUUUUACCUACGCUUAGGAUGUUGAGUCGUAGAGCACGCAG
rnacentral:rRNA from 1 species